rnacentral:rRNA from 1 species
ACUGGGAUUCCCCUAGUAAUGGCGAAUGAAACGGGAAAAGCCCAUCGCCGAAUUGCAAGUCAUCCAGGCUUUGCAAAAUGUGGCGUUUGGGAGGGUCUUCCACAGCUCGACCUGCCAGUCAAAGUCCAACUUGACAGUGGCUACAGCCCAUAGAGGGUGAUAGGCCCGUAAGGCGGCUCGUCGGCUGUGCUGACCUCUCUCUAGAGUCGGAUUGCUUGGGAGUGCAGUCCAAAGCGCGAGGUAAACUCCUCGUAAGGCUAAAUAUGACCCUGAGACCGAUAGCAAACAAGUACAGUGAUGGAAAAUUGAAAAGAACUUUGAAGAGAGAGUUAACAGUACGUGAAACUGUGUGGUGGUAAACGGAGGUGUUCUCGAAGUGUCCUUGAGGGACUCAAGCUCGUUGUUUGGCGGCCCGGUUUUGGUGAUCAGCAAUGACUCCACUGCCGACGUUGGCCUUUCUUCUGGCUGCAUUUCCCUCUUGGUUUACGGCAGGAACCGUUGGGAUCGGACCUAAGGCCUGGGAUGAAGUUGAUGGUUCCUUGUGAGCUGCCAGCUCCCGGUGUCCUGGCUCUGAGCCCGACGGGUUUUCAGCGAACUUGUACAGCAAGCAACUGCCUGUUGCGGUUCGCCGGUCUCUGCCGAGUAGGUCGGUGGCACCUCCGACCCGUCUUGAAACACGGACCAAGGAGUCUAACACGUAUGCGAGCCAUUGGGUUGUCUAAACCUAGCGGCGCAGUGAAAGCAAAGGGUCGCUUGUCGGCCUGGGGGACGAGGUUUAACCGCCGCAGUCCCGCGAUUUCCAAUCAUCCUCGUAUGUUGGGAAUACGCAGAGCAUAGGUGUUGGGACCCGAAAGAUGGUGAACUAUGCCUGGCCAGGUUGAAGUCAGGGGAAACCCUGAUGGAGGACCGUACCGAUUCUGACGUGCAAAUCGAUCGUCGGAACUGGGUAUAGGGGCGAAAGACUAUCAACCUCU